CAGUAAAAUAAGCUAAAUGCAAGCUACUGGGCUCAUGCCCCAGUUAUGAGACUUUUUUCUCUUUUACUGU
rnacentral:tRNA from 1 species